GCCUGGAAGUACGUCGCAAGCUGAAACUAAAGGAAUGGCGGGGGAGCACCACAACGGGUGGAGCUGCGGUUAAUGGACUCAACGCCGGGCAGCUCACCGGAUAGGACAGCGGAAUGAUAGCCGGGCUGAAGACCUUGCUUGACCAGCUGAGAGGAGGUGCAUGGCCGUCGUCAGUUCGUACUGUGAAGCAUCCUGUUUAGUCAGGCAACGAGCGAGACCCACGCCAACAGUUGCUAGCAUGUUCGCCGGAAUGAUGAGGACACUAUAAAAACCGCCUCUGCUAAAGAGGGGGAAGGAAUGGGCAACGGUAGGUCAGCAUGCCCCGAAUUAUCCGGGCUACACGCGGGCUACAAUGGUCAGGAAAAUGGGAAACGGCACUGAAAAGUGUAGUCAAUCUCCUAAACCUGUCCCAAGUUCGGAUUGUGGGCUGCAACUCGCCCACAUGAAGCUGGAAUCCGUAGUAAUCGCGUUUCAAAAUAGCGCGGGGAAUAAGUCCCUG
rnacentral:rRNA from 1 species